GAGUUUGAUCCUGGCUCAGAUUGAACGCUGGCGGCAUGCCUUACACAUGCAAGUCGAACGGCAGCACGGGAGCUUGCUCCUGGUGGCGAGUGGCGAACGGGUGAGUAAUGCAUCGGAACGUAUCCUGGAGUGGGGGAUAACGUAGCGAAAGUUACGCUAAUACCGCAUAUUCUGUGAGCAGGAAAGCGGGGGACCUUCGGGCCUCGCGCUCUUGGAGCGGCCGAUGUCGGAUUAGCUAGUUGGUGAGGUAAAGGCUCACCAAGGCGACGAUCCGUAGCAGGUCUGAGAGGAUGAUCUGCCACACUGGAACUGAGACACGGUCCAGACUCCUACGGGAGGCAGCAGUGGGGAAUUUUGGACAAUGGGGGCAACCCUGAUCCAGCCAUGCCGCGUGAGUGAAGAAGGCC
rnacentral:rRNA from 88 species